ensembl:lncRNA
GCCAAACAAAAAAGGUUUUUUCAGCAUUAUCUGUUUAAAUUUUUCAACAUAUUUAUAAGCCAUUUGUUUUUCUUUUUUAAUUUUCUGUUCAAGUUCUUUACCCAUUUUAAACAUUUUUUGAUAUAUAUCUUUUUUCCAUUAAUUGAUAAGAAUUGUUUAAACAGGAAAAAUCAACAUUUUGUCACAUAUGCUACAAAUAUUUUUCAUGUGACUGAAGACUUUAAUUAUUUUACAAGUAUUAGGGGAAAUAAAGCAAGACAGAGACUUCCCUGAAGAACUCACACAUAUGCUUCAAAAGAAAGCCAGUGUUUUUGUUGCCAAUCAGUGUUGGCCUGAGGAGUAGCAGCAACCAAGGUGGGAAGUCCAUUUGCACAUGAGCUAACCUGCCAUCUUUUCUAUCAAAUCCAACCACAGACAAGGCAAGAACUUCGAGAGGUGAGAGGAAAUAAAAGAAAUGGUUUCACCCCUUGCUCUGAGGUGCUGGUGGGAAGAGAAUGUGAAGCCUCCUGCAGGAACAUGGAAGAUGGGUCCUGCGACAAGGAGGGAGAAAGGCUAUCAGGGUUAUCUCUGUCAACACCAGUGAUUUUAGAGAGAAUGACAAAUAUAGAAGAUGUGGAAGACAAGUACUGGACAUGUCCUGAUCAAGACAAAUAUUGAAAGGAAUACAGAUGGGAAAAAAUUGAUCCUAACUGGAAGCUAUAUGGCUGCCAUGAAAAUUAAAUCCUGGUGAGUUUCUCAAUAUGUGAACUAUUGUACUCUUACAGAGAAAUCUAGGCACAGGCUAGGACUGAGAUUCAGGACAGAAAAAAUGACCCAUAAUAGUUUAAAACCAUGAAACAGACAGUGAUGGAUAAUUCAUCUAAUAAUCCAAUUCGCCAAGUGUUACAUACUUAAGUUCUAAGUAAAGGAACCACUGAACUAGAAUGGCAGUUAGAGGAAAUCCAAAAUUCUGAAAGUAGUAGGGGCCAAAAGGAAUUAAGGUCACCUGUCAAAAGGAAUGAUACUAAGAGUAAUGCUAGGAAUCUAGACUCACAUGAAUCCAGUGAUCACAAAACACAUCCUACUGGUAACAGAGAAAUACACCUAAAGAAUAAAUGUGGUCGGUUCUAUAAAAAUGCAUCAUCUUCCCUGGGAAAGAAACUGAAAACAUACUUCUUUAUUUGUGUUGUUUAAAUCUACAGUAACCAAAAGGGCUAUCU